rnacentral:rRNA from 2 species
UUGACGGAGCACGCCGCGUGAGUGAUGAAGGUUUUCGGAUCGUAAAGCUCUGUUGUUAGGGAAGAACAAGUGCCGUUCAAAUAGGGCGGCACCUUGACGGUACCUAACCAGAAAGCCACGGCUAACUACGUGCCAGCAGCCGCGGUAAUACGUAGGUGGCAAGCGUUGUCCGGAAUUAUUGGGCGUAAAGGGCUCGCAGGCGGUUUCUUAAGUCUGAUGUGAAAGCCCCCGGCUCAACCGGGGAGGGUCAUUGGAAACUGGGGAACUUGAGUGCAGAAGAGGAGAGUGGAAUUCCACGUGUAGCGGUGAAAUGCGUAGAGAUGUGGAGGAACACCAGUGGCGAAGGCGACUCUCUGGUCUGUAACUGACGCUGAGGAGCGAAAGCGUGGGGAGCGAACAGGAUUAGAUACCCUGGUAGUCCACGCCGUAAACGAUGAGUGCUAAGUGUUAGGGGGUUUCCGCCCCUUAGUGCUGCAGCUAACGCAUUAAGCACUCCGCCUGGGGAGUACGGUCGCAAGACUGAAACUCAAAGGAAUUGACGGGGGCCCGCACAAGCGGUGGAGCAUGUGGUUUAAUUCGAAGCAACGCGAAGAACCUUACCAGGUCUUGACAUCCUCUGACAAUCCUAGAGAUAGGACGUCCCCUUCGGGGGCAGAGUGACAGGUGGUGCAUGGUUGUCGUCAGCUCGUGUCGUGAGAUGUUGGGUUAAGUCCCGCAACGAGCGCAACCCUUGAUCUUAGUUGCCAGCAUUCAGUUGGCACUCUAAGGUGACUGCCGGUGACAACCGGAGGAAGGUGGGGAUGACGUCAAAUCAUCAUGCCCCUUAUGACCUGGGCUACACACGUGCUACAUGGACAGACAA